GAUAGCAAUAGUGAGGGAAGCUUCAAGAACCUUGACAAAUUGACCAUGGGGCAUGUCAAUCUGAGGUUGAAACAUUGCUUUUAGCCACAUUAAUACACGAGGUGAUGCAUGCUUUAGAUUUUGACCCUCAUGCCUUUGCACAUUUCCAUGAUGAGUGAAAGAGAUGAAGGCGUAGCCAGGUCACUAUGCAAGUUAUGGAUGAGAGGUUUGGUUGUGCAGUUGCACGUAUUGUCCUGCCCCGACUAGUUAUGCAUACUAGAUACCAUU